rnacentral:lncRNA from 1 species
GAGUGCAUUCUUCAUAUGGCUUUCGUCUUCUUUGAAUUCCGAAGUGGAGUUCGCGAUUCCUUUUCUCACACUACCUAUAGGUAACUGCUCUCUUUACUUCACUACCACUAGUUUUUUCUUCAAUUCCUGCGUCCACAAUUGAUUAUUUUAAUUUUAGUUAUUUUUAAAAAAAUAAAUAAAUAAUAUAUAUAUAUAUAGAUAGAUAUAUGUUUUUCUGUUGAAUUUAAUGUCUUUUUAAUUGACAUUGUUCGUGUGUGUGAGGGAGAGGGAGAAGGAGAGAGAGGGAGGCAGAUAUGACUAGUAGCUAUGUGAUGUUAGAAAUGAAACAUGUGAUGAUGUUGAAUUGGUGUGCGUGCGAUGAUGAUUCCUUUCUAAUGACGAGUGAAAUUGAAGUUAGGGAGAGUUUUUCUGAGGGUAUAAUUGUACUAAUAACGUAUUUCUUAAAAUUAUAAAUUAUUUAUACUUGGAAAAUUAUUGCUUUCUAAGAUUGAUAAUGGAUUAUUAUUGUGCAUUGGAGGAGCUGACUGGCGAUUGAGCUUACUUGGUUUUCAAUUAUUGUUGAGAAAUUUGGUGAAUGCGUGGAAGGGGAAGUGCUUGUUUUUACUCGAGGCUGUUUCUGUUUCAGAUACUGAGACUUGAUACCUCGUAGUGAUGAACUGAAUGUUGUAAGGAGAGAAUUUGUUGAUAGGUCUUGCAGAGUGUCUGUUAUUAGAAUACUUUGACCUCCUUCACUCUGUCUUUAGAAGAAUAAUGGUCAUCAUUAGUUUUCACUUGUGUGUUCCUUUCAGUUCAUAUGCAUCGGAAGAUUGAA